rnacentral:ncRNA from 1 species
GGCAGAUUCAAAAAUGCCAGAUGCGCAAUCUGGAUACGAAAAAGGCAGUACAUUGGUGAUGGCUGGUCUGUCGGGGUUGAAUAUGGUGUAUGAAGCGG